rnacentral:rRNA from 1 species
GACGUAGGGGGCGAGCGUUAUUCGGAAUUAUUGGGCGUAAAGCGCUCGUAGGCGGGAAAGCAAGUCCGUGUUGAAAGACCUCGGCUCAACUGAGGGACCGACUCGGAUACUGUUUUUCUUGAGGCAUUCAGAGGGUGAUGGAAUUCCCGGUGUAGCGGUGAAAAUGCGUAGAUAUCGGGAGGAACACCAGUGGCGAAGGCGAUCACCUGGGGAUGUUCUGACGCUGAGGAGCGAAAGCUAGGGGAGCAAACGGGG